AGAGAGAGACAUGCGCGCAUAUCAAUAAGCGGAGGAAAAGAAACUAACAAGGAUUCCCUUAGUAACGGCGAGUGAAGCGGGAAGAGCUCAAAUUUGAAAUCUUCAAGGUUCUACCUUGACGAAUUGUAGUUUAUAGAAGUGUUUUCUGUUAGUGGAGUGGCAAAAGUUCUUUGGAAUAGGACAUCAUAGAGGGUGAGAAUCCCGUAUUUGGUCAUUCCUCCUAGCGUUGUGAUACACUUUCAACGAGUCGGAUUGUUUGGGAAUGCAGUCCAAAAUGGGUGGUAAAUUUCAUCUAAAGCUAAAUAUUGGCGAGAGACCGAUAGCGAACAAGUACCGUGAGGGAAAGAUGAAAAGAACUUUGAAAAGAGAGUUAAACAGUACGUGAAAUUGUCAAAAGGGAAGCGUUUGACACCAGUGUUGUUUUUCCGAAAAUCAAUUACGAAUGUUUUGUUUUUGAGGAGUUAUGACUUCAUCGGCUUGCUCCUUUCUUUACGAAACUUUCUUAAUGCACUUUUCGGUUAACAAGUCAACAUCAAUUUCUUUUGUUGUAAAAGGGUAUGAGGAAGGUGGCUUUCUUUUCGGAGAAAGUGUUUAUAGCCUUGUGCCUCUGCAAUCGGAGAGAUUGAGGUCUGCAGCGUAGAUCCCUCGGGGUUAGAUACGUUUGUGCUAAGUUAUAGCUUUUCAUAGACAACUUGUUGACUAUGUUUAGUCUUGUAGCUUACUCGCUGACGCUAUUUUACCUACGCUUAGGAUGUUGAUAGUCACAGCGUGUAC
rnacentral:rRNA from 1 species